UCGGAUGUAGCUCAGUGGUAGAUUGCUUGCCUAGGAUGCAUGAAGCCCUGGAUUCAAUUCCAGCAUUACAA
rfam:Ictidomys tridecemlineatus contig044211, whole genome shotgun sequence.